rnacentral:rRNA from 1 species
GAUGAACGCUGGCGGCGUGCCUAAUACAUGCAAGUCGAGCGAACAGACGAGGAGCUUGCUCCUCUGACGUUAGCGGCGGACGGGUGAGUAACACGUGGAUAACCUACCUAUAAGACUGGGAUAACUUCGGGAAACCGGAGCUAAUACCGGAUAAUAUAUUGAACCGCAUGGUUCAAUAGUGAAAGACGGUUUUGCUGUCACUUAUAGAUGGAUCCGCGCCGCAUUAGCUAGUUGGUAAGGUAACGGCUUACCAAGGCAACGAUGCGUAGCCGACGUGAGAGGGUGGUCGGCCACACGGGAACUGAGACGCGGUCCAGACUCCUACGGGAGGCAGCAGUAGGGAAUCUUCCGCAAUGGGCGAAAGCCUGACGGAGCAACGCCGCGUGAGUGAUGAAGGUCUUCGGAGCGUAAUACUCUGUUAUUAGGGAAGAACAAAUGUGUAAGUAACUAUGCACGUCUUGACGGUACCUAAUCAGAAAGCCACGGCUAACUACGUG